GACGAACGCUGGCGGCGUGCUUAACACAUGCAAGUGGAGCGACGAACCAGGGCUUGCCCUGGGGCAAAGCCGCGAACGGGUGAGUAACACGUGGGUAACCUGCCCCGAUGACCGGGACAACCCGAGGAAACUCGGGCUAAUACCGGAUGAGCUCCUGCCACAUAAGUGGUUUGAGGAAAGGAAGCUUCGGCCUCCGCAUCGGGAUGGGCCCGCGGCCCAUUAGCUUGUUGGUGAGGUAACGGCUCACCAAGGCUUCGAUGGGUAGCUGGUCUGAGAGGACGAUCAGCCACACUGGGACUGAGACACGGCCCAGACUCCUACGGGAGGCAGCAGUGGGGAAUCUUGCGCAAUGCGCGAAAGCGUGACGCAGCAACGCCGCGUGCGGGAAGACGGCCUUCGGGUUGUAAACCGCUUUCAGUUGGGACGAAGCUCCGCCGGUGAAUAGCCGGCUGGAGUGACGGUACCUUCACAAGAAGCCCCGGCUAACUACGUGCCAGCCGCCGCAGUAACAC
rnacentral:rRNA from 1 species